AGAGUUUGAUCCUGGCUCAGAUUGAACGCUGGCGGCAGGCCUAACACAUGCAAGUCGAACGGUAACAGGAAGCAGCUUGCUGCUUUGCUGACGAGUGGCGGACGGGUGAGUAAUGUCUGGGAAACUGCCUGAUGGAGGGGGAUAACUACUGGAAACGGUAGCUAAUACCGCAUAACGUCGCAAGACCAAAGAGGGGGACCUUCGGGCCUCUUGCCAUCGGAUGUGCCCAGAUGGGAUUAGCUAGUACGUGGGGUAACGGCUCACCUAGGCGACG
rnacentral:rRNA from 1 species